UACAGAGGGUGCAAGCGUUAAUCGGAGUUACUGGGCGUAAAGGGCGCGUAGGCGGUUAUAUAAGUGAGUUGUGAAAGCCCUGGGCUUAACCUAGGAACUGCAACUUAUACUGUAUAGCUAGAGUAUUGUAGAGGGUAGUGGAAUUUCCGGUGUAGCGGUGAAAUGCGUAGAGAUCGGAAGGAACACCAGUGGCGAAGGCGGCUACCUGGACAAAUACUGACGCUGAGGCGCGAAAGCGUGGGGAGCAAACAGG
rnacentral:rRNA from 1 species